CGCAAGCCUGACGGAGCAAGACCGCGUGGGGGAGGAAGGCUCUUGGGUUGUAAACCCCUUUUCUCAGGGAAGAACCAAAUGACGGUACCUGAGGAAUCAGCCUCGGCUAACCCCGUGCCAGCAGCCGCGGUAAUACGGAGGAGGCAAGCGUUAUCCGGAAUGAUUGGGCGUAAAGCGUUCGUAGGUGGCUAUUCAAGUCUGCUGUCAAAGACAGAAGCUCAACUUCUGAAAGGCAGUGGAAACUGAGUAGCUGGAGUGCGGUAGGGGCAGAGGGAAUUCCCGGUGUAGCGGUGAAAUGCGUAGAGAUCGGGAAGAACACCGGUGGCGAAAGCGCUCUGCUGAGCCGCAACUGACACUGAGGGACGAAAGCUAGGGGAGCG
rnacentral:rRNA from 1 species